CUCAAUCUGCUCGGUUACAUACUGAAAUAGUGUUUGUUCUUCUUCUUCUUUUUC
ensembl:ncRNA R10H1.6 ncRNA